UUUAAAUGGCCGCAGUAUACUAACUGUGCAAAGGUAGCAUAAUCAUUAGUCUUUUAAUUGAAGGCUGGUAUGAAUGGUUGGACGAGAUAUUAACUGUUUCAUAAAAAUUUAUAUUAGAAUUUUAUUUUUUAGUCAAAAAGCUAAAAUUUAUUUAAAAGACGAGAAGACCCUAUAAAUCUUUAUAUUUAGGUUAUUAUAAUUUUAUAGAUUAUUUUUAUUAUAAUGAUUAAUAAUAUUUUAUUGGGGUGAUAUUAAAAUUUAAUGAACUUUUAAUUGUUAAAAUCAUUAAUUUAUGAAUAAGUGAUCCGUUAUUAACGAUUAAAAAAAUAAGUUACUUUAGGGAUAACAGCGUAAUUUUUUUGGAGAGUUCUUAUCGAUAAAAAAGAUUGCGACCUCGAUGUUGGAUUAAGAUAUAAUUUUAGGUGUAGCCGCUUAAAUUUUAAGUCUGUUCGACUUUUA
rnacentral:rRNA from 1 species